CAGAACUCGAGCUCAGUCCUAUCUACCUCCCUCAGGCUAGGUUGCCACAGAAGAUGCAAUUUGAUAAUAUAAAAACAGAGAAAGAUGCCAUGCCUUUAAAGAAGAUAAAGUAUUACAACAGAGGAUCUUCAGCUUGGGAGGAAGAUUGAAGAGACAGCAAGAGCUGGAAGGGAAAUAGAAGCUACUAUCGAUGGGUCCCAGCAACUUUUCAAGCAGUGAAGAAGAAUGGCUGAGACAGGUAACCUCAACUCCAAGACUCAGGUUCUUCACAGGAGCCAUUACCAUAAUAGUUGCAUGGACAGUGUGGUGUUUGGGAGUAUCUGACCUAUAAUAAUAAUCAUGAUAAAUGGGAACCAUUAUGAUUCUAUGCAGCUUUCUGUCACAACAGCAAAGUACUUGAGAUAUUAAAAUUUUAAAUAGAAAA